UGUUGCAUGGCUGUCGUCAGCUCGUGUCGUGAGAUGUUGGGUUAAGUCCCGCAACGAGCGCAACCCUCGUCCUUAGUUGCCACCAGGUAAUGCUGAGUACUUUAAGGAAACUGCCAGUGAUAAGCUGGAGGAAGGUGGGGAUGAUGUCAAGUCAUCAUGGCCUUUAUGGAGUGGGCUACACACGUGCUACAAUGGUGUCUACAAUGGGUUGCAAGGUGCGCAAGCCUAAGCUAAUCCCUAAAAGACAUCUCAGUUCGGAUUGUACUCUGCAACUCGAGUACAUGAAGUUGGAAUCGCUAGUAAUCGUGGAUCAGCAUGUCACGGUGAAUACGUUCUCGGGUC
rnacentral:rRNA from 1 species